rnacentral:rRNA from 1 species
CCUACGGGUGGCAGCAGUAGGGAAUUUUCGGCAAUGGGGGGAACCCUGCUGCAGCGACGCCGCGUGAGGGAAGAAGGUUUUCGGAUUGUAAACCUCUGUCUUCGGUGACGACACGAGACGGUAGCCGAGGAGGAAGCCACGGCUAACUACGUGCCAGCAGCCGCGGUAAUACGUAGGUGGCAAGCGUUGUCCGGAAUUACUGGGUGUAAAGGGAGCGUAGGCGGGAAAGCAAGUUGAAUGUUUAAGGUACGGGCUCAACCUGUACAAGCGUUCAAAACUGUUUUUCUUGAGUGGAGUAGAGGGAAGCGGAAGUCCUAGUGUAGCGGUGAAAUGCGUAAAUAUUAGGAGGAACACCAGUGGCGAAGGCGGCUUACUGGGCUUUAACUGACGCGGAGGCUCGAAAGCGUGGGUAGCAAACAGGAGUAGAUACCCUUGUAGUC